CGUCCUACGGGGGGCAGCAGUGAGGAAUAUUGGUCAAUGGCCGAGAGGCUGAACCAGCCAAGUCGCGUGAGGGAUGACGGCCCUACGGGUUGUAAACCUCUUUUGUCGGGGAGCAAGACCCGCCACGAGUGGCGGAGCGAGAGUACCCGAAGAAAAAGCAUCGGCUAACUCCGUGCCAGCAGCCGCGGUAAUACGGGGGAUGCGAGCGUUAUCCGGAUUUAUUGGGGUUAAAGGGUGCGCAGGCGGACCAUCAAGUCUGCGGUAAAAUCGUGGGGCC
rnacentral:rRNA from 1 species